AGAAGCAGCUACAGGGACAACAUGACUUGGAAGGCCCUUCUCAUAAGCCUCCUGGCUCAUUACACAGGCUCUGUAGCUUCUUAUGUGCUGACUCAGCAAUCGUCAGUAUCUGUGACCCCAGGACAAAUGGCCAGAAUCACCUGUGGAGGUAACAGUAUUGGCAGCUAUAACGUGCACUGGUACCAGCAGAAGCCAGCACAGGCCCCUCUGCUUGUCAUCUACUAUGAUAGCACCUGGCCCUCAGGGAUCUCUGGCUCCAAUUCUAGGAACACAGCCACCCUGACCAUCGGAGGGGCCCAGGCUGGAGACGAGGCUGACUAUUACUGUCAGGUGUGGGAUAUUAGUGCUGCUCACAGUGACAUAUCCAGACAGGGAAGCUCUGUGAUCAUGUUCAGGUACAUGUGCGGAAAGGAACACUUGGACUCCUUCCUUGGAUGGAGCAUGAACAACCUCUUUGAGAAGACUCUGCAGAAUUCUAUGGAAUCUCAUGUGCCUUGGGGCCUUAGGUCAGAGCAUCCCAAAGCCAUCUGGGGACCCUCUCUGUAUUUCCCUCCAAAGAUCCCAAGGGGAGGCUCUAGUUCUGGGGCUAAUCGUUACUUAAUAAUUGCCAACAUCCAGCCUGAGUAUGAGGCUGAUUAUUAUUGUGGAGAGAGUCAUACAAUUGAUGGCCAGAGUGAGUAG